UGCAAAGGCAAGAAUCUCAACACUUGAGGCCAACUGGCCAGUGUGGGUCAUUGGUAUUGCUGGGUGGUGAAGAACUCUUAUAUUCAUAUGUGUAAACAUCAGGUUCAGCAAGAGCAUAUGUUUCCUUGAAGUGAGGACAAAUAAGGCACUGAGUCACUGCCAUUUCUCCUCCUCACUCCACUUUAGGGGGAAACUUCUGGAGGCAUGACAGUACAUCAUCACCAUUGCACAACGUGAGGAUCAAACUGACUCUGGGUGUAAAUACAAGACAUGGACAACUUGUUUCCUCCUUUACUGAGAGUUUGCUUUCCUAGUGCAGGACGACUAUAGACACUCAGAAAAAUCACAGAAUCUUAGAGAAGCUGGGACACUAUCACUGAACCAACAUACGGACUUCUGCAUGUGAUAAGGAUUAACCUCCAUCAACAGUGGAGAUCAGAUUAAAUUGAGUAAAGCACACAAAGCAUGUAUCUCGGUGCCGGUCACAAAGGAGGCUUUGAAUGCGUGGUCCCUGCUCUGCUCACUUCCCCAAGAGAGAAAUGAAGUGAUAAGAAUUUAAGUAACGUGUUGAAAGCCACACAAAUGAUAAGCACCAGAGCCAGGACUCACACCCAGGUACUUAGACCCUGCCACUUGAU